rnacentral:rRNA from 1 species
AGCGAACGCUGGCGGCAGGCUUAACACAUGCAAGUCGAACGGGCACUUCGGUGCUAGUGGCAGACGGGUGAGUAACACGUGGGAACGUACCUUUCGGUUCGGAAUAAUCCAGGGAAACUUGGACUAAUACCGGAUACGCCCUUCGGGGGAAAGAUUCAUCGCCGAUAGAUCGGCCCGCGUCUGAUUAGCUAGUUGGUGAGGUAAUGGCUCACCAAGGCGACGAUCAGUAGCUGGUCUGAGAGGAUGAUCAGCCACAUUGGGACUGAGACACGGCCCAAACUCCUACGGGAGGCAGCAGUGGGGAAUAUUGGAAAAUGGGCGCAAGCCUGAUCCAGCCAUGCCGCGUGAGUGAUGAAGGCCUUAGGGUUGUAAAGCUCUUUUGUCCGGGAAGAUAAUGACUGUACCGGAAGAAUAAGCCCCGGCUAACUUCGUG